GGGCGGUUAGCUCAGCUGGUAGAGCGCUUCGUUUACACCGAAGAUGUCGGCGGUUCGAACCCGUCACCGCCCACCA
rnacentral:tRNA from 1 species